CUUCUCUGGUCUUGAGUCUCACAGCUUCCUAUUCUCUCCUUAGUAUGUGUUUUUAAGAAAAGCUUCUACAGCCCACCCUCAGCAUUUCGGAUGCCUUCAACAGAAUGCUUGAUUCCUGGCUUCCAGAAUAUUAGAGAACACAUUCUCCAUGUCACUAAGCUGGUGGCACUUUGUCAUAACCACCUUGGGAAACAGCCCAAGGAGCAACUUGAACACAGAGUGGUAAGACAGAGCCCGCAGCUGGUAUAUGGGAACAGGUACAUGGAGCAAUAGCAAAUUUACAAGGACACCGUGGACUUUGUUUCUACAGUUCUUGUCUGGAUUCUAUUCGGGGACAUACUGUAAGAAGAAACCUUUAUUAUCUUCAGCACUCUCAACCAACAGAAAUCCAGCCUUGUGGUGGCUAGUAC